CACGUAGGUGGCAAGCGUUAUCCGGAAUUACUGGGCGUAAAGCGCACGCAGGCGGUCUUGUAAGUUUGACGUGAAAGCUCCCGGCUUAACUGGGAGAGGUCGUUGAAGACUGCAAGACUUGAGGAAAUGAGAGGGGUGUAGAAUUCCCGGUGUAGUGGUGGAAUGCGUAGAUAUCGGGGGGAAUACCAGUGGCGAAAGCGGCACCCUAGCAUUUUUCUGACGCUCAUGUGCGAAAGCGUGGGGAGCGAACGGG
rnacentral:rRNA from 1 species